rnacentral:rRNA from 1 species
UACGUAGGCAGCAAGCGUUGUUCGGAGUUACUGGGCGUAAAGAGUGCGUAGGCGGUCCUGUAAGUUUGGUGUGAAAUCUCCCGGCUCAACUGGGAGGGUGCGCCGAAGACUGCAGGGCUUGAGUAUGGGAGAGGUAAGCGGAAUUCCAGGUGUAGCGGUGAAAUGCGUAGAUAUCUGGAGGAAUACCGGUGGCGAAGGCGGCAUCCUGGACCAUAACUGACGCUGAGGCGCGAAAGCUAGGGGAGCAAACGGG